rnacentral:rRNA from 1 species
UACGAAGGGGGCUAGCGUUGUUCGGAAUUACUGGGCGUAAAGGGCGCGUAGGCGGUCCUGAUCGUCGGAUGUGAAAGCCCCUGGCUUAACUGGGGAAGUGCACCCGAAACUGGGUAGCUAGAGUGCAAAAGAGGGUCGCGGAAUUCCCGGUGUAGAGGUGAAAUUCGUAGAUAUCGGGAGGAACACCGGUGGCGAAGGCGGCGACCUGGGUUGACACUGACGCUGAGGCGCGAAAGCGUGGGGAGCAAACAGG